UAGCAUAUCAAUAAGCGGAGGAAAAAGAAACUAACAAGGAUUCCCCUAGUAACUGCGAGUGAAGCGGGAAAAGCUCAAAUUUAAAAUCUGGCGGUCUUCGAUCGUCCGAGUUGUAGUCUGGAGAAGCGUCUUCCGCGCUGGACCGUGUACAAGUCUCUUGGAACAGAGCGUCGUAGAGGGUGAGAAUCCCGUCUUUGACACGGACUACCAGUGCUUUGUGAUGCGCUCUCAAAGAGUCGAGUUGUUUGGGAAUGCAGCUCAAAAUGGGUGGUAAAUUCCAUCUAAAGCUAAAUAUUGGCGAGAGACCGAUAGCGAACAAGUACCGUGAGGGAAAGAUGAAAAGCACUUUGGAAAGAGAGUUAAACAGUACGUGAAAUUGCUGAAAGGGAAACGAUUGAAGUCAGUCGCGUCGUCUAGAACUCAACCUUGCCUCGGCUCGGUGCAUUUUCUAGUUGACGGGCCAGCAUCAGUUUUGACCGUUGGAAAAAGGUCCUUGGAAUGUGGCACCUUCGGGUGUGUUAUAGCCUCGGGUCGUAUACGACGGUUGGGACUGAGGACCGCAGCACGCCUUUAUGGCCGGGGUUCGCCCACGUACGUGCUUAGGAUGCUGGCGUAAUGGCUUUAAACGACCCGUCUUGAAACACGGACCAAGGAGUCUAACAUGCCUGCGAGUGUUUGGGUGGUAAACCCGAGCGCGUAACGAAAGUGAAAGUUGGGAUCCCUGUCGUGGGGAGCACCGACGCCCACACCAGACCUUCUGUGACGGAUGUGCGGUUGAGCAUGUAUGUUGGGACCCGAAAGAUGGUGAACUAUGCCUGAAUAGGGUGAAGCCAGAGGAAACUCUGGUGGAGGCUCGUAGCGAUUCUGACGUGCAAAUCGAUCGUCAAAUUUGGGGUAUAGGGGCGAAAGACUAAUCGAACUAUCUAGUAGCUGGUUCCUGCCGA
rnacentral:rRNA from 1 species